ACCUAUAAUUAAAACUGUUAUCCUAUAUAGUUCCUUGAAACGAGAAGAGAUGCUUGCAAACACGGUGCUGCGACAAAUUCCAAGAGCGGCAGGAAAUACGUUAUCGUAUCUUACGAAAUGCGAUAUACCUACAGAUACCACGUCAAUAUGAGAUCUCACGGAUUAAAAAUCAUUUAUAAGUUCAUCUUCCAAGUAUAUUAAAGAAUAUUAUCAUUGUUAAACUGAGGUGUAGAAUGGUCUCUGCUGUCUUUGCUAUCUUCUGGGAAUCUUCAAGGUUGCAGGUGUUCCACGGGUAUCAUUUGCUAACACUAUAAUUUUGCAAACACCAUGGAAAUAUACGUUUCCUGCAAAAGCGUGCAAGUGUCAGGACAAUGGUUGAUAUGUGUGUGAGAACGUCCUUGAUGUUAUUUCAGAAUCCCUCUUUUGCUAACUCCAACAAAAACCUUCACAUAUAUACCUAGGGGUAGUCAUAGUCAUUUUGCAGCACAAGUGUUAAUCUGCACGUUAUCGUCAUGUCUUCAACCAAACGCGCCAACAACAAGUUGACUUUAAAGAAAAGUGCAACGAGUAAGAAGCCUUACAUAAAUGCCUGUGGGGGUGGUGGACGCUCAAUCUUAAAGAUCGCCUUAGAAAAACCUACAAAGUUAUCCGAUGGUGAUGUGAUCAACCUCCUCACGGAAGAUAAAGAAGGACAUCCGGAAAGAACAAUAGCUACCACCACCACCACCACCACAAAUGAACUGGAAGAUUUUUUCUAAAAGAAUAUGAGGGAAAUUUCAAUCAUGUUUACGCUCCUCCAAUUACAACGAUUCCUCCAUCUCACAUGAGACCCCCGGUGAUAGAUCCCAGACAUGGCCAGCAACAACAACACCAACAACAGUUAAGACAGUCAGUAUCCAUCAGUACAAAUAUUGGAGCAUAUUAUAAUUCCUGCGCCGCUACCCCAGGCAAAUACUCAAACGCAGC